rnacentral:rRNA from 1 species
CACAAGUAAGAUUAGUGUUAUUCAUCUUUAUUAGGUUUAAAGGGUACCUAGACGGCAAAAGCAACUUCUAAAAAGUAUAUCUUUGCUAGAGUUUUAUGUGAGAGGUAAAUAUUAGGACUAUUGGUGUAGAGAUGAAAUUCCUUGAUACUAAUAGAAUGUGUAACGGCGAAGACAACCCUCUAUGUAUAAACUGACGUUGAGGGACGAAGGCUUGGGGAGCAAACAGG